rnacentral:rRNA from 1 species
CUGGGCGUAAAGCGCACGCAGGCGGUCUGUCAAGUCGGAUGUGAAAUCCCCGGGCUCAACCUGGGAACUGCAUUCGAAACUGGCAGGCUAGAGUCUUGUAGAGGGGGGUAGAAUUCCAGGUGUAGCGGUGAAAUGCGUAGAGAUCUGGAGGAAUACCGGUGGCGAAGGCGGCCCCCUGGACAAAGACUGACGCUCAGGUGCGAAAGCGUGGGGAGCAAACAGGAUUAGAUACCCUGGUAGUCCACGCCGUAAACGAUGUCGACUUGGAGGUUGUGCCCUUGAGGCGUGGCUUCCGGAGCUAACGCGUUAAGUCGACCGCCUGGGGAGUACGGCCGCAAGGUUAAAACUCAAAUGAAUUGACGGGGGCCCGCACAAGCGGUGGAGCAUGUGGUUUAAUUCGAUGCAACGCGAAGAACCUUACCUACUCUUGACAUCCAGAGAACUUAGCAGAGAUGCUUUGGUGCCUUCGGGAACUCUGAGACAGGUGCUGCAUGGCUGUCGUCAGCUCGUGUCGUGAG